UGCAAGUCGAGGGGCAGCAUGAUUGAAGCUUGCUUCAAUUGAUGGCGACCGGCGCACGGGUGAGUAACGCGUAUCCAACCUUCCGUACACUCAGGGAUAGCCUUUCGAAAGAAAGAUUAAUACCUGAUGGUAUGAUGAGAUUGCAUGAUAGCAUCAUUAAAGAUUUAUCGGUGUACGAUGGGGAUGCGUUCCAUUAGGUAGUAGGCGGGGUAACGGCCCACCUAGCCUACGAUGGAUAGGGGUUCUGAGAGGAAGGUCCCCCACAUUGGAACUGAGACACGGUCUAAACUCCUACGGGAGGCAGCAGUGAGGAAUAUUGGUCAAUGGACGAGAGUCUGAACCAGCCAAGUAGCGUGAAGGAUGAAGGUCUUACGGAUUGUAAACUUCUUUUAUAAGGGAAUAAAACCUCCCACGUGUGGGAGCUUGUAUGUACCUUAUGAAUAAGCAUCGGCUAACUCCGUGCCAGCAGCCGCGGUAAUACGGAGGAUGCGAGCGUUAUCCGGAUUUAUUGGGUUUAAAGGGAGCGCAGACGGGUCGUUAAGUCAGCUGUGAAAGUUUGGGGCUCAACCUUAAAAUUGCAGUUGAUACUGGCGUCCUUGAGUGCGGUUGAGGUGUGCGGAAUUCGUGGUGUAGCGGUGAAAUGCUUAGAUAUCACGGAGAACUCCGAUUGCGAAGGCAGCACACUAAGCCGUAACUGACGUUCAUGCUCGAAAGUGUGGGUAUCAAACAGGAUUAGAUACCCUGGUAGUCCACACGGUAAACGAUGGAUACUCGCUGUUGGCGAUAUACGGUCAGCGGCUUAGCGAAAGCGUUAAGUAUCCCACCUGGGGAGUACGCCGGCAACGGUGAAACUCAAAGGAAUUGACGGGGGCCCGCACAAGCGGAGGAACAUGUGGUUUAAUU
rnacentral:rRNA from 1 species